CAUUUUUACUCAUUUACUCAACUUUUCGUCUUCAUGGAAUUCCAAAACAGAGGGAGGACGAUCAAGCUAUGAGUCGGCGAGUCUUCUAAAAAGUGACAUCGAAGUGAAAUGCACUUAGAUUACGAGGAAAAUUUAAUACAGAACAAAUCCUAAUUAAAAGGUGCGAGAUCUUUAACGAGUGUCUAAAGCAAAAAAAAAAAAAAAAAAAAAAAAAAAAGAGAGAGAGAGAAAAAGAAAAGAAAAGAAAAAAACAAAAAAAGAAUUAAGUCUGGUAAGAAGUCUUUACUGAGAA